GACGAACGCUGGCGGCGUGCUUAACACAUGCAAGUCGAACGGAAAGGCCCUGCUUUUGUGUGGUGCUCGAGUGGCGAUCGGGUGAGUAACACGUGAGUAACCUGCCCUUGACUUUGGGAUAACUUCAGGAAACUGGGGCUAAUACCGGAUAGGAGCUCCUGCUGCAUGGUGGGGGUUGGAAAGUUUCGGCGGUUGGGGAUGGACUCGCGGCUUAUCAGCUUGUUGGUGGGGUAGUGGCUUACCAAGGCUUUGACGGGUAGCCGGCCUGAGAGGGUGACCGGCCAGAUUGGGACUGAGAUACGGACCAGACUCCUACGGGAGGCAGCAGUGGGGAAUAUUGCACAAUGGGCGGAAGCCUGAUGCAGCAACGCCGCGUGCGGGAUGACGGCCUGCGGGUUGUAAACCGCUUUCGCCUGUGACGAAGCGUGAGUGACGGUAAUGGGUAAAGAAGCAACGGCUAACUACGUG
rnacentral:rRNA from 1 species